rnacentral:rRNA from 1 species
AUUGAACGCUGGCGGCAGGCCUAACACAUGCAAGUCGAGCGAGCGGCGGACGGGUGAGUAAUGUAUGGGGACUGCCCGAUAGAGGGGGAUAACUACUGGAAACGGUUGCUACUACCUCAUACUAACGGCUAACCCAUAUGGGAUUAGCUAGUAGGUGGGGUAAAGGCUCACCUAGGCGACGAUCUCUAGAUGGUCUGAGAGGGUGAUCAGCCACACUGGGACGUAAACACGGCCCAGACUCCUACGGAGGCAGAAGUGGGGAAUAUUGCAAAAGGGGCGCAAGCCUGAUGCAGCCAUGCCGCGUGUAUGAAUAAGGCCUUAGGGUUGUAAAGUACUUUCAUCGGGGAGGCGUUACCCUAAGAAGAAGCACCGGCUAACUCCGUGCCAGCAGCCGCGGUAAUAC